rnacentral:rRNA from 1 species
AAAUGAAUAGACGGGGGCCCGCACAAGCAGUGGAGUAUGUGGUUUAAUUCGAAGCAACGCGAAGAACCUUACCAGGUCUUGACAUCGAGUGAAGAGUGUAGAGAUAUGCUCGUCCUUCGGGACACAAAGACAGGUGGUGCAUGGUUGUCGUCAGCUCGUGUCGUGAGAUGUUGGGUUAAGUCCCGCAACGAGCGCAACCCUUACCGUUAGUUACUACGCAAGAGGACUCUAACGGGACUGCCGUUGACAAAACGGAGGAAGGUGGGGACGACGUCAAAUCAUCAUGCCCCUUAUGACCUGGGCUACACACGUACUACAAUGGCAAUCGAACAAAGGGAAGCGAUGCGGCGACGCGGAGCAAAUCCCAAAAAAUUGUCUCAGUUCGGAUUGCAGGCUGCAACCCGCCUGCAUGAAGUCGGAAUUGCUAGUAAUCGCGAAUCAGCAUGUCGCGGUGAAUACGUUCCCGGGCCUUGUACACACCGCCCGU